CAGGUGGCCAGAACAUGAUGAUACGCUGACACUGAAUGACUCAAAUUGUUUCUAUAGGCUAGUGUGGCAGCUUUUGAAUCACCUCUCACUGAGAACCAGCCUGGGUGGAGUUGCCCCUGACCGGUCCCGAUGCAGUGGAGAUGUGUCUGCUGUGAGAACUGCUGCAGGCCCCAGGCUCUUGGAGUGGAUCAGCCAAGGAGGGAGACAGCCUGUCUACUUACAUUGCUAACCCAGAACAGAACACCAACUGUAAGGAGGCAAUCCUGCCCCAGCGGCCAGACGCGGGAGAUUCGGGUGGCUCCCUGGCAUGUUGGAAGUGCGCCUAUGACGGGCACUGCCCCAGCUGGCUGCAGUCCCCUAACCGGACAUCCACGGAUUCCUGCGGUCACAGACGGAUUUCCUUUUCCUCUGAAUAAGGGCAUGCUCAGUUCACAAUAAUGCUGACCCCCCCCCCCCCAUCCAUAUGCCAUGAGCUUUUAGCAUGGAUUAUAUUUUAUGCCACCUGAAAAUUUUGUCAAAUACAACUAUGCCCUUCUAUAUACAUUCUGCAAA